rnacentral:rRNA from 1 species
CCUACGGGAGGCUGCAGUGAGGAAUAUUGGACAAUGGGCGAAACCCUGAUGCAGCGACGCAGCGUGAGGGAAGACGUAUCUCGGUACGUUAAGCUCUAUCAGCAGGGAAGAUAAUUACGGUACCUGACCAAGUAUGCCCGUCUAACUACGUGCCAGCAGCCGCGGUACUACGUAGGGGGCCAGCGUUAUCCGGAUUUACUGGGUGUAAAGGGAGAGUAGACGGCAGAACAAGUCUGGAGUGAAAUCCCGGGGCGUAACCCCAGAACUGCAUUGGAAACUGUGCGGCUGGAGUGCAGGAGGGGUAAGCGGAAUUCGUAGUGUAGCGGUGAAAUGCGUAGAUAUUAGGAGGAACACCGGUGGCGAAGGCGGCUUACUGGACUGUAACUGACGUUGAGGCUCGAAAGCGUGGGGAGCAAACAGGAUUAGAUACCCGGGUAGUC